UCUUGAUUUCCCAAACUAAAUCAGGUGUUCCCAUUAUAUACUUUUAUAGCACUCUGCUCCCUCUCAUACAUAUUUACUUGAGUAAUUUUUAGUUAUUUUUUUCCCUGAUGGGCUGUAGUAACCACGAGGGCAGGGACUGCAUAUUUUUUUAGUUCAACAGUCAAUCUCCAGAUCUUUGCACAGUUUCUAAUAUACAGUAGGCACUGAAUCAACAUUUAUUAAAUGAGUGGCAAUUAAAUUUUUAUAUCCUUUAGACCAUGAUAGAAUAACAUAAACUAGAUUUGUCUUUUCUCCUCAAAUACUAGAAAACUGACAUAGAGUACACGCAACAACAGUUUUCAGACAUUGGACAACAGAUAGCACUGGAUAGAGAUUCCCACAGAAAGGAAACCAAUCACAUAAGCACUUCCAUGGCCCUGGCUCAUUCCUCUAUGGGGAAAGGGAACCCAAACAACCUGGUAGUCCUGCUGAGCUUAGGAAAUUUGUGGAGAAACAUUCUAGAAAGGAAGUCGCUAUGGAGAGAGGGGAGAGAGUGAGAGAGUGAGUGCACACACAAGAGGGUAAGCGUGCCCUAGCAGGCAGGCAGCAGCGAUGGCCUGAAUGUUUGCAUCUCCCCAGAAUACAUGCAUUGCAGUUCUAACCCUCAGGUGAGGGUAGUAGGAGGCAGGGUCUUGGGGAGGUGAUGAAUUCAUGAGGGCAGAACUCUCAGGAUGGGAUUAGUGCCCUUAUAAAAUGGGCCCAAGGAGCUUGUUUAUAACUUCUUCAGUCAACUGAGGACACAGUGAAAAGUGCCAACCAUGAACCAGAGUGAACUCUCUUCGGAUACCCUAUCUACUGGUGCCUUGACUUGGACUUCUUUGCCUCUAGAACUGUGAGAAAUAAAUUUAUGCAGUUUUUCAGCUCCUAG
rnacentral:lncRNA from 1 species